rnacentral:rRNA from 1 species
AGAGUUUGAUCCUGGCUCAGGACGAACGCUGGCGGCGUGCCUAACACAUGCAAGUCGAGCGAUGAAGCUUCCUUCGGGAAGUGGAUUAGCGGCGGACGGGUGAGUAACACGUGGGUAACCUGCCUCAAAGAGGGGGAUAGCCUCCCGAAAGGGAGAUUAAUACCGCAUAACAUUAGAAAAUCGCAUGAUUUUCUAAUCAAAGGAGUAAUCCGCUUUGAGAUGGACCCGCGGCGCAUUAGCUAGUUGGUAAGGUAAUGGCUUACCAAGGCGACGAUGCGUAGCCGACCUGAGAGGGUGAUCGGCCACAUUGGAACUGAGACACGGUCCAGACUCCUACGGGAGGCAGCAGUGGGGAAUAUUGCGCAAUGGGGGAAACCCUGACGCAGCAACGCCGCGUGGGUGAUGAAGGUUUUCGGAUUGUAAAGCCCUGUCUUUUGGGACGAUAAUGACGGACCAAAGAGGAGCCACGC